AUUAAGGAACUCGGCAAAUAUUUUAAUCUGUUGGACUGUUUACCAAAAACAUAACUUAUAGGAAUACUUUUAUUUAUUAUAAGCUAAACCUGCUCCAUGAGGGUUUAUUCUCUUAAAUAGCCGCAGUACUUUGACUGUGCUAAGGUAGCAUAAUAAUUUGGCCUUUAAUUGAGGUCUAGAAUGAAAGGAUUUACUUAACAGAAACUGUCUCAAUAUUUGAACUUUUAGGAAAUUACUAAAUAGGUGAAAAUUCCUAUUUAAUUAAGAAAGACGAGAAGACCCUUAGAUUUUUUAUUAUUUUGAAAAUUAUAUUUCAAUUCAUUUUUGUUGGGGCGACAUAGUAUCAAAAUUAACAUACUUUUAAUAAUAUAAAUUCAAAUUUAUCUAAUAUUUUAAUUCAAAUUAAAAUACCUGAGGGAUAACAGCAUUAUUAAUUAUUUACAUUGUGACCUCGAUGUUGGACUAGGAAAACUUGAAUUUAGAUAAUGCAAGUAAUAAUUCUGUUCGAAUUUAAUUCUCCUACAUGAUCUGAGUUCAGACCGGCGCAAGCCAGGUCAGAUUCUAUCUUCUAUAAAAAAUCUACCAGUACGAAAGGAUAAUAGAUU
rnacentral:rRNA from 1 species